UUAGCGAGCCGUAGUAGAGACGAUAAAUAAUCUAUAGGCCUAGCUCAAGAUGAUAGCUAUAGUGUUGAAUUGUGCAUAAUUUUGCUUUAGAUAACUAAAUACAUGUUUAACAGAUAGUAGGCCUAACGUUACUCCGCAUCUAGGGACUUUUCUUAGAACUAUAUUUACCCUCUGUCUAACUCUUUUACCAUGUUCACCUGUAAGUUUACCUGCACGUUUUUUUCGCCUUUGUUUUGUUUUUAUAUUCUCUACCUAUGUUUACUGAUGUCUUUAUCUUGUAUCUGUGUGUGUCGUACACACUUUGUUGUAUGUGUGUGUUAUUAUUUUGUGUCUGCAAUGCAGUUGUGAGUUGAUAUUUGAGUGUAUGUUACUCUGUUUAUCUGUAAUCAAGACAUUUUAUAAAUGUGAUGUAAUUGUUGUGUUGAUUUGUAUAAUUUUUUUUUUAUUAGUUAUGAGAAAGACAUAUCAACGUCCACACCAUCGAAAAGUGGAUUUACAAUGGUACCACCACCUGUAUCCACUAUUGUCUCGGAGUCGCUUUCUGACCGAGAUGAUGACUUCUCAGUCCCUGGAGUUGAAGAGUUGGAUAGUAGCAGCGUACAGGAUAAAAUCAUUCAUUACAUGUGAUUCUGACAUGAUGUCACUACAUGCACUGUGCUCCUUCCUCUCCGCUCAUCUCAGGUGACCGUAGCCACAAGAUCCAGUCUGUAUCCAAGUCAGAGGGUCACUGCAGUCACCCGGAUCCAGUAUGUAUCCAGCCCAGAUGGAUCAACACUUAGAAAGGACGUCUACAGCCCUGAAAGACAGCGGAGACCAGGACAACUAGAGCCCAAGAGACAGAUCCCCUGUAAAGACCUUGUCUCAGACGACCACCUGGACAAGACCAUAGGAAACAGAUGAUUCUUCUG